rnacentral:rRNA from 1 species
UACGUAGGGCGCAAGCGUUGUCCGGAAUUAUUGGGCGUAAAGAGCUCGUAGGCGGUUUGUCGCGUCUGCUGUGAAAACCUAAGGCUCAACCUUGGGCUUGCAGUGGGUACGGGCAGACUAGAGUGCGGUAGGGGUGACUGGAAUUCCUGGUGUAGCGGUGGAAUGCGCAGAUAUCAGGAGGAACACCGAUGGCGAAGGCGGCUCUCUGGGACGGUACUGACGCUGAGACGCGAAAGCGUGGGGAGCGAACAGG